AAUCAACGCUGGCGGCGCGCUUAACACAUGCAAGUCGAACGAGAAAGCAGGAGCAAUCCUGUGAGUAAAGUGGCGUACGGGUGAGUAACACGUGGAUCAUCUACCUCCUGAUGGGGAAUAACCCUGGGAAACCGGGGCUAAUACCGCAUAAGCCCGCGAGGGGAAAGUCGCAAGACGUCGGGAGAGGAGUCCGCGGCCGAUUAGCUUGUUGGUAGGGUAAC
rnacentral:rRNA from 1 species